rnacentral:rRNA from 1 species
GAUGGGUGAUGGCGUGCCUUUUGUAGAAUGAACCGGCGAGUGACGAUGGCGUGCGAGGUUAAGCCGAAGAGGCGGAGCCGCAGCGAAAGCGAGUCUGAAUAGGGCGUGAAGUACGUCGUCGUCGACCCGAAACCAGGUGAUCUACCCAUGUCCAGGGUGAAGGACGGGUAACACCGGCUGGAGGCCCGAACCCACGCACGUUGAAAAGUGCGGGGAUGAGGUGUGGGUAGGGGUGAAAUGCCAAUCGAACYUGGAGAUAGCUGGUUCUCCCCGAAAUAGCUUUAGGGCUAGCCUCAAGGGAAGAGUGUUGGAGGUAGAGCACUGAUUGRGCUAGGGGCCCUCAWCGGGUUACCGAACYCAGUCAAACUCCGAAUGCCAACGACUUAUCCUUGGGAGUCAGACUACGAGUGAUAAGAUCCGUGGUCGAGAGGGAAACAGCCCAGAYCACCAGCUAAGGUCCCAAAGUGCACGUUAAGUGGAAAAGGAUGUGGAGUUGCCCAGACAACCAGGAUGUUGGCUUAGAAGCAGCCAUCAUUUAAAGAGUGCGUAAUAGCUCACUGGUCGAGUGACUCUGCGCCGAAAAUGUACCGGGGCUAAACGUGCCACCGAAGCUGUGGGAUGACCGYUGGUCAUCGGUAGGGGAGCGUUCUAAGYGCRCCGAAGCGRGACCGGAAGGACUCGUGGAGCGCUUAGAAGUGAGAAUGCCGGUGUGAGUAGCGAAAACAGAGGUGAGAAUCCUCUGCACCGAAAGCCUAAGGGUUCCUGAGGAAGGUUCGUCCGCUCAGGGUUAGUCGGGACCUAAGCCGAGGCCGAAAGGCGUAGGUGAUGGGCAACAGGUWGAGAUUCCUGUACCACCUCCUCACCGUUYGAGCRAUGGGGGGACGCAGGAAGGUAGGGCGAGCAGGCUGCUGGAAUAGCCUGUCCAAGCGGUUAGGCUGCCAGAUAGGCAAAUCCGUCUGGCRYMAAGGCUGAGCCGUGAUGGCGAAGGGACCAUCGGUCCCGAAGUCCCCGAUCCUACACUGCCAAGAAAAGCCUCUAGCGAGGUGAGAGGUGCCCGUACCGCAAACCGACACAGGUAGGCGAGGAGAGAAUCCUAAGGUGCGCGGGAGAACUCUCGUUAAGGAACUCGGCAAAAUGACCCCGUAACUUCGGGAGAAGGGGUGCUCUCUUGGGUGAUGAGCCCGAGRGAGCCGCAGUGAAAAGGCCCAAGCGACUGUUUAUCAAAAACACAGGUCUCUGCGAAGCCGAAAGGCGAAGUAUAGGGGCUGACACCUGCCCGGUGCUGG